rnacentral:lncRNA from 1 species
GUUGGAUGAUUCAUGAGGUGGGGUUCUUCUUUCUGGAGAAAAAAAUUGUUAUAAGAUUAUAAUCUGCCUGUGGCUGUCUUGUUCUUUAAUGACCACGUUCUCUUUCAGAAUUAUAAUUGUGGGUUAGGCCUGGGAAGGGAAAGGGUUGAAGCAAGGACUUUUAUUACAUGCCGGUCCAUUGUCUGCAGCCCUCCCUGGAGGACUGGACAUGACCCCUCUGCCCAGCCCACAGCUAAGUCACAAUUGUCAUUGGCUUGGCAUGUGACUCAUUAUGUUCUUCUACCUUUGAGGACACAAGGAGGAAGAGCUUUUGGUUUGCUCCAAGAAGCAAAAAGCCUGGGGGCAGCCAAGAGCUUUUCUUCAGACAGGAAGACCCCAGGAAGAGCUGUCAAUUAGUAACCAUUCACAACGAACAAUGGGUGAGUGUCCCUCAUUUCCAGUAUUAUCAAAGAGCUGAAAAGUCUGAAUGU